UACGGGGGGAGCAAGCGUUGUUCGGAUUUACUGGGCGUAAAGGGCGCGUAGGCGGCCACCGCAAGUCAGUUGUGAAAUCUCUGGGCUUAACCCAGAAAGGUCAACUGAUACUGCGGGGCUAGAGUGCAGAAGGGGCAACUGGAAUUCUCGGUGUAGCGGUGAAAUGCGUAGAUAUCGGGAGGAACACCAGUGGCGAAGGCGCGUUUCUGGGCUGCAUCUGACGCUGAGGCGCGAAAGCUAGGGGAGCAAACAGG
rnacentral:rRNA from 1 species